GAUGAACGCUGGCGGCGUGCCUAAUACAUGCAAGUCGAGCGAACAGACGAGGAGCUUGCUCCUCUGACGUUAGCGGCGGACGGGUGAGUAACACGUGGAUAACCUACCUAUAAGACUGGGAUAACUUCGGGAAACCGGAGCUAAUACCGGAUAAUAUAUUGAACCGCAUGGUUCAAUAGUGAAAGACGGUUUUGCUGUCACUUAUAGAUGGAUCCGCGCCGCAUUAGCUAGUUGGUAAGGUAACGGCUUACCAAGGCAACGAUGCGUAGCCGACCUGAGAGGGGGAUCGGCCACACUGGAACUGAGACACGGUCCAGACUCCUACGGGAGGCAGCAGUAGGGAAUCUGCGGCAAUGGGCGAAAGCCUGACGGAGCAACGCCGCGUGAGUGAUGAAGGUCUUCGGAGCGUAAAACUCUGUUAUUAGGGAAGAACAAAUGUGUAAGUAACUAUGCACGUCUUGACGGUACCUAAUCAGAAAGCCACGGCUAACUACGUG
rnacentral:rRNA from 1 species